rnacentral:rRNA from 1 species
CCUACGGGAGGCAGCAGUGGGGAAUAUUGGACAAUGGGCGAAAGCCUGAUCCAGCCAUGCCGCGUGUGUGAAGAAGGCCUUCGGGUUGUAAAGCACUUUCAGUGGGGAAGAAAGCCUUGGGGCUAAUACCCUCGAGGAAGGACAUCACCCACAGAAGAAGCACCGGCUAACUCCGUGCCAGCAGCCGCGGUAAUACGGAGGGUGCGAGCGUUAAUCGGAAUUACUGGGCGUAAAGCGCGCGUAGGCGGUCUGAUAAGCCGGUUGUGAAAGCCCCGGGCUCAACCUGAGAACGGCAUCCGGAACUGUCAGGCUAGAGUGCAGGAGAGGAAGGUAGAAUUCCCGGUGUAGCGGUGAAAUGCGUAGAGAUCGGGAGGAAUACCAGUGGCGAAGGCGGCCUUCUGGACUGACACUGACGCUGAGGUGCGAAAGCGUGGGUAGCAAACAGGAUUAGAUACCCUUGUAGUC